rnacentral:sRNA from 1 species
AGAAUUAACUCGCGCCCUCGUGGACCGCCGGAAGCCGGGGCCAAUGCCGGAGUUUAAGGGCCAGAAAAGGAAGCAUUCAGGGAAUUUAGGUGUAGCCAGAAGGAAAUCAGGUCCUGGCUCCCCAGAGGCAAGAGAGUUCAAGUGAAGGAAGGAGGAGGUUCCUGGAUGUGGAUGUCCUCAUUUCUGGGAACACUCUUAAAUGGAGACUCAGAUUUCUUAGCCAAAAUUUAGGGAGGAUCCAGAAGAAACCAAAGAAGAAGCAUCCCAGUUCUUGGGUAUUUCCUGAAACAGAAGAAAAUGACAAAGGCCCAGGAAUCACUGACCCUGAAGGAUGUGGCUGUGGACUUCACCUGGGAGGAGUGGCAGCUCCUGGGCCCUGCUCAGAAGCGUCUGUACCGGGAUGUGAUGUUGGAGAACUACAGCAACCUUGUGUCAGUGGGUGAGGACAGCUGCCCUGUGUCACUCAGAGGGUACCCAGUCAGUGGCCUUUGCUUUCUCAGCUUCUGGAAGCUUUGAUAUGUCUGCUGUGCUCCCAAAUGGCAGAUCCUCAGGCCCGUCUCUGGUCCC